rnacentral:rRNA from 1 species
UGGGGAAUUUUGGACAAUGGGCGCAAGCCUGAUCCAGCCAUGCCGCGUGAGUGAAGAAGGCCUUCGGGUUGUAAAGCUCUUUCGGCGGGGACGAAACGGUUCGUGACAACACCACGGACUAAUGACGGUACCCGCAUAAGAAGCACCGGCUAACUACGUGCCAGCAGCCGCGGUAAUACGUAGGGUGCAGGCGUUAAUCGGAAUUACUGGGCGUAAAGCGUGCGCAGGCGGUUUGUUAAGACAGGUGUGAAAUCCCCGGGCUUAACCUGGGAAUUGCGCUUGUAACUGGCAGGCUAGAGUGUGGCAGAGGGGGGUGGAAUUCCACGUGUAGCAGUGAAAUGCGUAGAUAUGUGGAGGAACACCGAUGGCGAAGGCAGCCCCCUGGGUCAACACUGACGCUCAUGCACGAAAGCGUGGGGAGCAAACAGGAUUAGAUACCCCGGUAGUCCCUGAGCGGGCUGGCAAGGCGCAU